CGGAAUGGAGGAGGGAGUGACCAUGCCGAGCAAUGCUUUGCAGUGGAAACCCAAAAUCGCUUCCAACCUCUAAUUGAUUUAGAAGCUACUCCGAUUCCGAUGACUCAAAAUGUUUCAAAUGUAAAGCCUGUAAAGGAGAAUACGAAAGAAAAACUCUCAUCGCAGGAAGAUGGUUUGGCAUCUGUUAUGGGGGAGUUCCCCAGUUGUGAGCAGUUACACUUAGUAAUUAAGACCCUUCACUGUAUUUUUAAAAGGCUGGACGAGGUAUCUUCACAAUUAUCCAAUAUCCUGCUGAAAAUCGGAAAACUUGAAUCAACAACACAAUCCUCAGUUUGUGAGGUCAAAAACUUAUUGCCUCACCCCCAUUCAGAUAAAAUACUGGAGACUAAAACUAAAUAUGUCUUAAAUUCCCAAUUGAACAAUCAGAUAUUAACUUUGCAACCCAAGAAAAGUUGCCUUUCUGUCAGGUCGGAAAUAGGAAGAUGGUCAACGCUAGAAGGAGCUAAAGACUGCUUAAGCAAACUUUUAAAAAUUAAGAAAUAUCAGAUUGACCUAUAUGCUGUAAUGCCCCUUCCCCGGCAGACCAACUUCUUGAAGGUGAUACUUGCGUUCCACUCUGAAAAGAUACCAUCUAUUAUUGUUAGGAGGAAAACGCUUUUGUCCAUGGCCGACAUUGUAGCAACGAGGGUUUUUACAGACAGCAAGAUCAAACCCCUUCUAAAUAGGUGCCCUGGCGGUGAGGACAUUAGGACAAGAGACUCUGCCUUACCUCAAAAUACUGUCAGGCCCAAUCGCGAUGACUCUGCAGCGUGCCAUCCGCGACCAAACUCGAUACCCUCUCAAACUGCUAUAUAUGAGGAUGAUAAUCUGCAGACUGCCCUCGACGAAAGGGAACUUAUUGAUUCAUUCAGAGCCCUUCCUCCGAAAGAACAGUCGGUGAUGAUGCAAAGAUUUGACACGCUUAAAUCUCAGCUUUUGCAAGUCCAACAUAGAGGGGAAGAUACUAACGAUGUCUCAAAUAAUCCCACUUGGGCCCACCGGACAGAAGUGGUUGACCUUCUUCAGCUCAGUCCCACUCUGAAUUCAAAAACCAUCCGACAAGACUCAAAUCUUCAAGUUGCUUCUGCAGCGUGCGCUACAUCACGAGACGACCAGGCUCUGCCAUCCUCACUGAACCUUCAUCUAUAUUCAUCAACCAACAUAUCUAAGGACGAAAUUCUGAUUUCCCUGCUUGACUCAAAUCCCUCUUUAACUCACUCAUCUAUGCCAGAGCUAGAAUCUUCUCCGGUUUCGUCCAGAUAUAGAAGUAGUCCACAAGUGAUGCCCCUGAGAGAGUCUUCCGCAAUUUCCACCUCCGUGAUGCCCCCUCAAUUACCUCCUUCAAAGGAAACUGCGAAUGUUACACCUCGGGACCCGCCGUCAGAAAUGAUUGAAGACCCGAUGGGACGCAUCAAUAAAAUAAUCCGAAUGUCGGAUGACAAAUCUGCGAGAGGGUUUACCCCGACGGACUCAAUUUCCCCCUACCUGGGUAUUUCUCUGUCAAGUUGUACCAAGAAUUUCGAAAUGAAGAGACUUCCUGUUCAGAGACCUACUUUCAGUGGAUCAUCCACGGUGUGCCAACAGUCGAACCAAAUUGUUAAAAACUUUAAUUUGCAGGGCGCCUCACAGUUACCAUCCUCCCAAAGUAAAAUAACUGACUUUUUUGUUACAUCUUCUGUCUCUAACAGAGAGUCUGCCCCCCCUCCAUUUUGACUGUUAAAAGAACAACAUAGAAGUCCCCAGCUAGCAGUCCUAAGUUGGAACAUUGCUGGCUGGAAAAGGAAAAGAUUAGAUCCCGAAUUUCUGUCCUAUAUAAACUCUUUCCAGAUAAUCCUUUUGCAAGAAACAUGGGAAGAAGAUAAAAUAGAUAUAAAUGGCUUUGAACUGAUAUCACUUCCAGCUAUCCCCUCCCAGAAAGGUGGCCGGUCCAGAGGCGGUCUUGCAAUCGCCAUAUCGCUUAAAAUGAGAGCUAAACUCUCGCUAGUUCAUACCUUUCCUCCUUUUGCUUUUACUGGUCUGAUUUCAAGUGAAAAAUUCUCACUAUUAAUCACCAAUGUUUAUCUUCCUCCAGGUGGUCUGAUAUCAGACCUUCAUUAUAGAUGGGAUUCUCUGGAAGAUCAUUUAUUGGCAUGCUAUGUUAAGUACCCUAAUAUUCCAUCGAUAAUGGGUGGUGACUUCAAUGCACGUACAGCUGCCAACUGGAAUGGGAUAAUUAAGGCCAAGUGGUGGGUAUCUCCCCCCUACCCAAAAUCUGAUUUAAUCUCUUUCACAUCAAGAAGAUCUAAGGACAACAGAGUGAAUGAGGCGGGAGUCCUUCUUUAUCAAUUGGCCAUUCGUAUGAAUUUGAACAUUCUAAAUGGCAACUGCCCUCCGGACGUGCCAGGUGAAUUCACUCAUUUGGGCACAAAAUCAAAUAGUGUCCUAGAUUAUCUUCUAGUCUCAGAAGACCUAUUUUCAAAUUUCUUUUAUCUCAAAGUAGAUAAUGUACAAUCCAGUGAUCACCUACCUCUAGCGGCCAAGCUAACGCUUGACUGGCACCCGGUUAGCGGAACACACCCAAUUCAUGUAGGUUUAAAUGCCACAGCUCAAGUAAGAGGCAUUAAAUGGUCCAUGAAACAGGCCCAAAAAUAUGCAGAAUUCUUCCAGAGGAAUAGCUCCGAAUCCCUUAUUGUUUCAUUGGCGGAGCUGUCUGAACCAAAUAGGAUACUGGAGUGGUUCUCCCACUUCUCUGCAGAUUUAACUAGUUUCUUUACGAUGCCGGCUCACCUCGCUAACCGUGAUCAACCCAGGUUCGGUGCACCUUGGUUUGAUGCCAAAUGUAAGCAAGCUAGACUCUCUCUCUGUUGUAUCUACAACAGAUAUAAAGCCUCUGGAGCUGAAACUCUCCCCCCAGAGUACUUGCAGGCCAAAAUUGCUUACAAACAGGCUCAGAAGUCAGCCAAGCACGAGUGGCAGCUAAGACGUUGGCAAGCGCUGAUUGCUGCCUCUAAGCUUCGCAGCUCUCGCGGUUUUUGGAAUUUAAUCAACAAAAGAUCGAGGAAAUACCCAUUGACGGUUAUCCCAGCCCCGACAUGGGAACAAUUUCUAAGAAAAUAUUUCUCCCAGACAGACAUCUCUAACAUCCAAUCUGAUACUCUCUCAAGUCACUUGCCCAUAUGGCCAGAUACUGACCCGGAGGAAAUAGUAGAUUUAAUUGCCAAACUGAAAACUGAUAAAGCCCCAGGGCCCGAUCUGAUCCCGGCGGAAGCUAUUAAACAACAUCCAAUAUGGUGGGCUAAAAUUCUUGCAAAAAUCUUUGAUGCAAUCAAUGCCACGGGCCAGAUACCUACAUCAUGGAAGGAGUCCAUCAUAAUUCCUAUAUAUACAAAACGACCACCAGAGGACCCAGGAAACUAUCGUAAUAUCAGUUUAUUAUCAAUCAUCGGAAAAAUCUACACUCGCUUCUUGCUAACCAGACUAACCCAAUGGGCCGAAGAUUCCAAUCUGAUAGGCCAUGAACAGGUCGGGUUUAGACCAAAUCGCGCUUCUAUUGACCAUGCUAUAAUUCUAUAUCAUUUGGCGCGGAAAUAUUCUUCCCCUACUCAUGGUCUUCUAUGUGCCGCUUUUAUAGACCUGAAGGCGGCUUUUGACAGUAUCUCUAGAGAGCUGUUAUGGGAAAAACUGGCAAAGUGGGGCAUAGAAAAAGGCUGUUGUGGCUAUUGAUUAAAUUACAUGAAGGGACGGCUGCUAGGGUGAGGUUAACACCUGAGGGCGAUCUAACAAACUCAGUUCCAAUAAACAAGGGAGUACGACAAGGGUGUAUCCUUGCCCCUAUCUUUUAACCUCUAUAUUAGUGACAUGAGGACGCCCCUAGCUGAGGCCCAAACCUCCAUUCAUGCACCCAGGCUUGCAGACUAUCGCUGCCCCUUAUUAUUGUACGCUGACGAUGCGGUGAUCCUCUCUUAUUCUCGAAUCGGUUUGAGGAGGGCCCUUAAGAUUUUUGCAUCAUAUUGCCAAACAAAUUUACUCACUAUUAACCAUUCCAAAUCUAAAGUCCUAAUUUUUUCCAGGAGUCGUAAACUGUAUAGAUGGGAACUUGAGGGAAGCCAAUUGAACAAGUUUACAAAUUUCAAUAUCUAGGAAUUUACUUCCAGUAUAAUAUGGGAUGGAAAGCGCAUAUCACAUAUUUACAAAACAAGGUGAAAGCCCUUAUCUACGCUAUACUACGCUUCUUCUUUACUGAGGGGGCUAUGCAUGUUCCAUCCGCCUUAAAAGUUUAUAGUGCAAAAGUGGUUGCAACUAUGGCCUAUGCGGUCCCUUUAUGGGGCGUCUUUGUAAACCUCUUGCCUCUGGUGACAUUGCAAAAUCUUUUUCUAAGACGCCUUUUGAAACUACCCUCCUGUGUAAGCAACUCUGCCAUUCGCUUAGAACUUAAGACCCCCUCCCUUGAGAUUCUGAUGUGGAGACAUGCCUUUAAUUAUUGGCUGUCCCUUUGGCAUAAAUUGCCAAACUACCAUCUUAUUCAGUGCCUUUGGAGAGAUGAAUUCACCAGCCCAUGGGCAACAAAAAUCCAUUCCAAACUGUUGUCUUAUGGAAUCUCUCCCUCCGAUAUACUUAAUUUAGAUCUAAUUACAGCUAAAAAGGUCAUCAAACAAAGAUUGGAGGAUGUAGAUUUACAACAAAAUCUUACCACAGGUGGAGGUACAUGUUCCCCGAUAUAUCAGGGCAUUACAUCUAUGUCCCAGAUACCUCGAUAUCUGUCUACUUUAUCGGCUGCGUCGCAUAGAUUCGCAUUUGUUAGAGCCAGAUUUAAUGUGUUCCCCUCAAAUGUGCUGAGCAAUAGAUUUUCUAACGGUAAAAUCUCUGUUUUGUGCGCAUGUGACAACAAAUCGAUAGAAUCCCUUUAUCAUAUCUUGUUUAAUUGCCCCUUAUACAAUGUUCCCCGAUCAAGGAUCCUGAGUUCAAUCAUCCUGGAAAUUGCUGCUAAACCACCUGAAUUACAUCUAGCUUAUCUACUCCAGGACAUUGACUCUUAUAGAACUUUACAGGUUGCUAGAUUCCUGAUCUCAGUUCUGUCUUAUAAAAGACUUCAGGGAAUGCUGCAUGACUAUUAAAAAUUCAGUAAACUCUAUGCACCAUCUUUAUCUUCAAGGCCAUAACACGGUACAGUUAGAGAUUAUGCGUUGAAAUAUUUUAGUUGAUAUUUUAGAUUGUAAAAUGCUAUUGAUUUUAUCUAUUGAUUUUUAUCUAUUGAUUUGUUUUACCUUGUGGGCUUAUAGCCGAAUAAAGUAUUAUCUAUCUAUCUAUCUA
rnacentral:lncRNA from 1 species